CCCACACACUUAUCCUCGCAUCGCAUCGCUCUCGCAGCCCUCGCAUCUCAUCGCUCCAUCGCCGCCACCUCCGUCCCCCACACCGCGGGCCGCGGCCUCUGCCCCCGAUGCCGCUCGCCGCGACCUCCGCCCCCGAUGCCGCUCGCCGCGACCUCCGCCCCCUAUGCCGUCGGUCGCCGCCUCCACCCCCACGCCGCCGGCCGCCGCCUCCAGCCACAUGUCGCGGGCCACCGCCUCCCUCUCCCAUGCUGGCGAUCGCCGGCUCCCUCCCCCACGCCGGCGCUCGCCGCCUCCCUCCCCAAUAACGCCGGCGGCUACACCAUGCUUCCAACCCCACCCGCCGCUCUUGGUGUCGGGGGUGGUCGCCCGCACUGUCGAUGUGCCGCUGCCGCGUGCAGGAAGUUCAACGGCACAAUCCCCGGCCGUUCAAUCUCGCUGCUGUGGGCGUGCCCCGCUCCAACUCCAUCGCCUCUGCUUCACUGGUAAAACAAUGCGACCUGAGGAACCACGGGGGUCGAGGACGUCCAGCUCCGCAGUCCAACUCGGCGUGAUUCAUGUCAUCGAUAGCCUUCAUGUAGCAGCCCAUGCAUGUCCCGCAAUGAGCCAGGACAGGGAAGUUGUUGGACACUAUCGUCUUCGUCGGCCGUCACGCUAUGAGUGGCUAUGGCCAUUGGUCACUGUUGGUCGUCGGUCGUUCUUCUUCGCCACCUCCUGAAGGUCAGCUUCUGGUACACGGGAAUGAAACACCAGACAAAGCAAAAUUGAGUGAUCACCGGAAUGGAACAGCCACAAUCUUUGACAUAUGGUGGUUCUUCAGUGCGCGUAUGGAAGGCCGAGAAGUUCUAUUGCUCGUAUACGCCAAGUUCAGAGAAGUUGCCGCCAACGGCGCCGGAGCAGCGGUCAAAAUUAAACUUGGUUUCAGUUUGUGCAUGAGUUUUUUACAUCAAUUUGUGCAUAUGUGUUAAUUGGUGGCUGGUGUGUGUGUGCAGGCAGGGGCGGAGCUUUGUACGGGCAGACCUGGGCCAUGGCCCGCCCAGGAUUUUUUUUUUUGCAUCAGUUCGACAAAAAAAGUGUACAAUAGUUCAAACUCUGAGAGCUAUUAAGUUUUAUUUUUUUAGAAUGGGAGUUGUAUGUUUACUCUCUGCCUGUACAGUGCAUUUUGUAUUCCUGGUCGUUGUAGUUUUUUUUGUGUUAAUAAAAAUGAAUUAUGUAUUUGUUAAUCAUUCCUCCACUUCCACUAGAAGAAAAGUGAUUUAGACUCUUUAUUGCAAUCAGUUAGUUAACUAUCUUAGUUCAACGAGUUAACCGUCUCGAUUCACUUUUCUUGCUUCCAGGGCCAACCACGGUCGCCGCUCCUCGACCCUAUUCCCGUUCGUCUGAUGGUGCUCUUGUUUCAGGGCCGGGGGAGAAGGCAGAACCUCUGGGUGCAUGAUGGAAAAAAAUUGCAAGUUCUUGUUUAGAGGUUCAGGAUACCCUUCUCUCAUUUCAUUUAUGUUCAGGAUAGCAGGUGCAUGAUGGAAAAUUGUGUAUCAUGUAGUUCUUGUUUAGAUGUCGUGCAAAUUCAAAAAUUGUCGAUUUUGCCAUUGGAGAGAACCCGUUGGUUGCAUUGUUUUUGCAGUGUGACGUCCCUUGGUAUGUUUGGAGUAUUGUUAUUGUUGCUUUGCA